GAUGAACGCUGGCGGCGCGCCUAACACAUGCAAGUCGAACGGCACCCACCCUCGGGUGGAAGCGAGUGGCGAACGGCUGAGUAACACGUGGAGAACCCGCCCCCUCCUCCGGGAUAGCCUCGGGAAACCGUGGGUAAUACCGGAUGACCCCGCAGGGCCGCAUGGCCCCGCGGGCAAAGCCCAGACGGGAGGGGAUGGCUCCGCGGCCCAUCAGGUAGACGGCGGGGUGACGGCCCACCGUGCCGACGACGGGUAGCCGGGUUGAGAGACCGACCGGCCAGAUUGGGACUGAGACACGGCCCAGACUCCUACGGGAGGCAGCAGUGGGGAAUCUUGCGCAAUGGGGGGAACCCUGACGCAGCGACGCCGCGUGCGGGACGAAGGCCCUCGGGUCGUAAACCGCUUUCAGCAGGGAUGAGACAAGACGGUACCUGCAGAAGAGCCC
rnacentral:rRNA from 1 species